UACGUAGGGUGCAGGCGUUAAUCGGAAUUACUGGGCGUAAAGCGUGCGUAGGUGGUUCGUUAAGUCUGAUGUGAAAGCCCUGGGCUCAACCUGGGAAUGGCAUUGGAAACUGGCGAUCUAGAGUGCGGUAGAGGGCAGUGGAAUUCCCGGUGUAGCAGUGAAAUGCGUAGAGAUCGGGAGGAACAUCUGUGGCGAAGGCGACUGCCUGGACCAGCACUGACACUGAGGCACGAAAGCGUGGGGAGCAAACAGG
rnacentral:rRNA from 1 species